CCUACGGGAGGCAGCAGUGGGGAAUAUUGCACAAUGGGGGAAACCCUGAUGCAGCGACGCCGCGUGAGUGAGGAAGUAUUUCGGUAUGUAAAGCUCUAUCAGCAGGGAAGAAAAUGACGGUACCUGACUAAUAAGCCCCGGCAAACUACGUGCCAGCAGGCGCGGUAAUACGUAGGGGGCAAGCGUUAUCCGGAUUUACUGGGUGUAAAGGGAGCGUAGACGGUUAAUCAAGUCAGAUGUGAAAACCCAGGGCUCAACCUGGGGAUUGCGUUUGAAACUGAGUAGCUAGAGUGCAGGAGAGGUAGGCGGAAUUCCUAGUGUAGCGGUGAAAUGCGUAGAUAUUAGGAGGAACCCCAGUGGCGAAGGCGGCUUACUGAACUGUGACUGACGUUGAGGCUCGAAAGUGUGGGGAGCAAACAGGAUUAGAUACCCGAGUAGUC
rnacentral:rRNA from 1 species